rnacentral:rRNA from 1 species
AUUGAACGCUGGCGGCAUGCUUUACACAUGCAAAUCGAACGGCAGCGCGGGCUUCGGCCUGGCGGCGAGUGGCGAACGGGUGAGUAAUGCAUCGGAACGUGCCCAGUAGUUGGGGAUAGCCCGGCUAAAGCCGGAUUAAUACCGCAUACGACCUUAGGGUGAAAGCGGGGGACCGAAAGGCCUCGCGCUAUUGGAGCGGCCGAUGUCGGAUUAGCUAGUUGGUGGGGUAAAGGCUUACCAAGGCGACGAUCCGUAGCUGGUCUGAGAGGACGACCAGCCACACUGGGACUGAGACACGGCCCAGACUCCUACGGGAGGCAGCAGUGGGGAAUUUUGGACAAUGGGGGCAACCCUGAUCCAGCCAUGCCGCGUGCGGGAAGAAGGCCUUCGGGUUGUAAAACGCUUUUGUUCGGGAAGAAAUCCUCUGGGCUAAUACCCCGGGGGGAUGACGGUACCGGAAGAAUAAGCACCGGCUAACUACGUG